rnacentral:rRNA from 1 species
UACGUAGGGUGCGAGCGUUAAUCGGAAUUACUGGGCGUAAAGCGUGUGCAGGCGGUUCGCCAAGUCCGGUGUGAAAUCCCCGGGCUUAACCUGGGAAUUGCGCUUGAAACUAGCGGGCUUGAGUGUGGCAGAGGGGGGUGGAAUUCCACGUGUAGCAGUGAAAUGCGUAGAGAUGUGGAGGAACACCGAUGGCGAAGGCAGCCCCCUGGUUCAACACUGACGCUCAUGCACGAAAGCGUGGGGAGCAAACAGG